rnacentral:rRNA from 1 species
ACGAACGCUGGCGGCAGGCCUAACACAUGCAAGUCGAACGCUCCGCAAGGGGAGUGGCGCACGGGUGAGUAACACGUGGGAACCUACCUUCUGGUACGGAACAACCAAGGGAAACUUUGGCUAAGACCGUAUACGACCUCCGGGUGAAAGAUUGAUCGCCGGAAGAGGGGCCCGCGUCCGAUUAGGUAGUUGGUGAGGUAACGGCUCACCAAGCCUUCGAUCGGUAGCUGGUCUGAGAGGAUGACCAGCCACACUGGGACUGAGACACGGCCAGACUCCUACGGGAGGCAGCAGUGGGGAAUAUUGGACAAUGGGCGCAAGCCUGAUCCAGCCAUGCCGCGUG